AGUCAUCAACUCCUUACCUUUUUUCUGAAAGGGGUCAAGGGUGUUGGAUCUGGGGUUGUGCUGCCGUGAGGCGGCUCCCCCUAAAUGUGUUGGUUGGGCCUCGGGUCAAACUCGUCUGGGCGUUGUACCAUCCUCGCUCUCUCGUUGGCCAUGUGCACCCUCCCUCGACCUGCCCCUGCUGGCGGUCAAAACCUUUGAA
rnacentral:misc_RNA from 1 species